AAUCAGUCUCAGCUCCGUCGCUUCACCCGCCCCCUUCCUCUUCAUCUCCGAUUCUUCCUUUUUUCAACAACUGAACCUCCAUCAUCUCUCUAAAUUCUUUCGCCUCUUUAAAUCGUGCCCUUCAAGCUCCUGUUAUUGAAUCUCCUCUUUCUCUCAAGAUAUAAAUCUUUUAGUCUUGCAUUUCAAAAUUUCGACUGAGGUUUUCAAUUGCUGCUUCAAUGGCGAGAUCUGGCAUCUGAUUCCUCCAUCGGGGAUCAAGCUGCGUCGUCUCCUCCAACAAGAAGAUUUUCUCCACCUCCGCUCAUUACGGGGAUGCUCUCUCACCCGUAUUGCACAUUUGUAACAGGGAGUUCCCAUGGGGGCAAGACUUGUGACUCACGGAAGCUAAAGGAGAUUUUUGGUAUUGGUGUUGUUAUGGGUACUUUAAUCGUUGUUAUGACAGUAAUUUUCUUCUAGCUUGCACGGGAUACUGACUUCUUCUCGGACAAUUUUGGACUAAGAUCGAUUAGAGAAGAGGAUGAGCAGCUUAUUGCAAUUUUGUAUCUUCAAUAGAUACAAUAGUUGUCGCAAAAGAGUGUGGAAAUGUUAUCAAGAAGUGAACCAUACAGCAUGUUGUCAUUCCAUGAGCAAAUAUGUUUCUCAUUUGUAAAAGCAAAGUUUCAUAACCAACCUACAAGCAUUGGAUUGUGCUGCCAAGCUUGGGCAUUAGUUGCAGAAGAUGAAUGUUAGCACCAACAUUUAUACAUCCUGUCAUAUUACUCUAAAAGACUUUUCACUUCAGGUUGGCUCAAGGGAUUAGUUUCACUUGUGAUCUUAAUGAUAAUAUUGCUACCCCUUGGCCUUCUGCAUCACUGGCACCUUCAUCUUCCUGCAAUAAGAGUAUGGUCUAACUCUAUCCAUUUUCAUUUUAAUUCUCAUUCACCCGAAAAUUGUUGCAGAUGCACGUCUCAAAUUCAUAUGAGCAUUACCUGUUUAAUAUAUUGUUUUGGGAGUGUGAACAACAUGGGCUAAUUCAUGCUAAAGGGCAUCAUGUAUGGUUUUAAUUUGGUCUAAUUUGUGCACCAUUUUGUUUUGGAGAUAUGUUUCCAGUAGUCUGUUCUAAAGUUUAUACUAAGGUAAAUUGCAUGUUGAUUGUGUCAAGUGUAACAAUGCUAGAGUCCUAAAUAAGUUUAAACCACUUUGAAAUAACCCCGAAAAGUUUGAGUAUAUCUUAACGAUCAAAAACUUUUGAGAUGUCAUCUUAACAUAAAUUGAGAAAUAUGCCAGAGUUUAAACUUAAUUAUAGAUUUUACUUUGGUUAUCUCAAAAUGGGUCAAGUUUUUUAGUGGUUUUAUGUGAAUUCUACACUUGUUUUGAGUCAUAUAAGGGGAUAUGUACUAAUGUAUCAUGUAUAGUGGUCCUUGUCUACACAAUUAGAUGGCCAUCAUAGAAAAUCACAUAUUACCAAGGAGAAAGAAACAUUGUGUGCCCAUUUAAUUUUAAUUAGUGUUAUCAGUAAAAGCAGAAUAGACUAUUAUAGUAUCAAUGCAAAUUAACUAUUGAAUUUCGUAGAAUUGAUAUAUAGCUCAGUACAGCCAUCAAUUUUAAGCUCUUAUCUUUGUCACUCGAGCAAGGAGUUGGUCCGAUGUUGAGCGCCCCGGUCUUUUGCUUCUUGAUGCUACGCAGCUGCACAACUGGUAAUAGUUCGGAUGGAAAAAAUUACCAUUGAAUGACUUUUUAUGAUUUCUAUCAUAUUAUGAUCUUUUAUUUAAUUGUGCAUGUGGCUACAAUAAUUGCAACGUAUGCACACUGGGGCUUUGCUCGCGUCAAAGUUUGUGCAUGGGGACGGGCAAGAGUCAUAUGGCUCUAUAGCAUCAUCUUCUACAUUCCACUUGAUAUCCUUAAGUUCAUGAUCCGCUACAGUCUGAACGGGAAAGCUUGGUGAAGCCUCCUCGAGAACAAGACGAUAUUCACAACAAAGAAGGAUUAUGGAAAAGAGCAGAGGAAGGCACAGUGGGCUCUUGCUCAGAGAACGCUUCAUGGGCUUCAUAAGGGUGAUUUUUUAUGGCCUCUUCAAUGACAAGAACGGAGAGUUGUCUAAGAUUGCUGAGCAGGUGAAGAGGCGAGCUGAGAUGCCAAGUGAAUGGAAAGGAGACUACUACCCUUUAUUAUAAGUUCUUGAAAUUAAAGAAAAGAGGUUUUUUGGCGAUGGAAUCAAGUGUAAUUUCACUAAGUUCUUUGUGGACAAAGAUGGAAAAGUCGUGGAAAUAUAUGCACCGACAACCUCACCUUUGAAAAUGGAGGUACAACUUUGACAGUGUAUUGUAUAAUUUUGCUUCACUGUUAUUUGUACUUAUUAUUGUAACUAUACUUUAUCUUCCAAAAACAAUACAGAGCUUUUUGGGGUUUGUAGGAAUUUAAGUGCUUUCUUUGAGGGACUAUAUUGUCGGUAACAUGAGUAUAUGAUCUCAUGUAGGCAUAAAGGGAUGUUUCUUCUAGAAAACUCGUAUAUUGCUAGAAAUUCAUUAGCUUCUUGUUGUAUGUAAGAAAUAUUAUUUAUUUUUAA